GGACAACAACCACCCGAGCCACUGCCUGUUCACCCCGCUACCAUCCAGAACGCGAGAUAAAAAUGUGGGACUCAAAAAGGUGGGGCUCUGCUCCACCUGCCCUGAAUGACGGGGCGCCACUGUAAAAAAAGAAUCACAGGAGAGCUUCACUGGAGAGAAUCACAGGAGAGCAUCACAGGAGAGCACCACUGGAGAGAAUCACAGGAGAGCACCACUGGAGAGAAUCACAGGAGAGCAUCACUGGAGAGAAUCACAGGAGAGCAUCACUGGAGAGAAUCACAGGAGAGCAUCACUGGAGAGAAUCACAGGAGAGCACCACUGUAGAGAAUCACAGGAGAGCAUCACUGGAGAGAAUCACAGGAGAGCAUCACUGAGGACAGGGGAGAAUGACCAUCUACUUCCAAACAUGAUUUGUCCUAUUUGAAUAAACCUAUUUUCCUCCCCCUGA